rnacentral:rRNA from 1 species
GUGCCUAAUACAUGCAAGUCGAGCGGACAGAUGGGAGCUUGCUCCCUGAUGUUAGCGCGGACGGGUGAGUAACACGUGGGUAACCUGCCUGUAAGACUGGGAUAACUCCGGGAAACCGGGGCUAAUACCGGAUGGUUGUUUGAACCGCAUGGUACAGACAUAAAAGGUGGCUUCGGCUACCACUUACAGAUGGACCCGCGGCGCAUUAGCUAGUUGGUGAGGUAACGGCUGACCAAGGCGACGAUGCGUAGCCGACCUGAGAGGGUGAUGCCGCACACUGGGAAUGAGACACUGCCAGACUCCUACGGCAGGCAGCAGUACGGAAUCUUCCGCAAUGGACCAAAGUCUGACCCAGCAACGCCGCGUGAGUGAUGAAGGUUUUCGGAUCGUAAAGCUCUGUUGUUAGGGAAGAACAAGUGCCGUUCAAAUAGGGCGGCACCUUGACGGUACCUAACCAGAAAGCCACGGCUAACUACGUGCCAGCAGCCGCGGUAAUACGUAGGUGGCAAGCGUUGUCCGGAAUUAUUGGGCGUAAAGGGCUCGCAGGCGGUUUCUUAAGUCUGAUGUGAAAGCCCCCGGCUCAACCGGGGAGGGUCAUUGGAAACUGGGGAACUUGAGUGCAUAACAGGAGAGUGGAAUUUCCACGUGUAGCGGUGAAAUGCCUA